UACAGAGGGUGCGAGCGUUAAUCGGAAUUACUGGGCGUAAAGCGUGCGUAGACGGUUAUUUAAGUCGGGUGUGAAAGCCCCGGGCUCAACCUGGGAAUUGCAUUCGAGACUGAAUAGCUAGGGUACGGUAGAGGGAAGCGGAAUUUCCGGUGUAGCGGUGAAAUGCGUAGAUAUCGGAAGGAACACCAGUGGCGAAAGCGGCUUCCUGGACCAGUACCGACGUUCAGGCACGAAAGCGUGGGGAGCAAACAGG
rnacentral:rRNA from 1 species